rnacentral:rRNA from 1 species
AGCGAACGCUGGCGGCAGGCCUAACACAUGCAAGUCGAACGAACUCUUCGGAGUUUUUGGCGGAUGGGGGUGGAACACGAGGGAACGUUCCCUCUUGGUUGGCAUAACUCAGGGACACGUGUGCCAACACCGAACGUGCCCUACGGGGGAAAGAUCUAUCGAGAUUCGAGGGGCGCGCGUCGGAUUAGAUUGUUGGUACGGUAAUGGCUCACUACGGCGAGGAUUAGCAGCUGGUUUGAGAGGAGGACUAGCAACACUUGGAGUGAGACGCGGCCCAGACUCCUACGGGAGGGGGGAGAGGGGGAUGGUGCACAAUGGGCGGAGGCAUGACGCAGCCAUGACGGGAGAAUGAUGAAAGUAUUAGGGUUGUAAAGUUCUUUUAACGGGGACGGUAAUGACGGUACCCGGAGAAAAAGCCCCGGCUAACUUCGUG